rnacentral:rRNA from 1 species
GAUCAACGCUGGCGGCGUGCUUAACACAUGCAAGUCGAACGAAGUUUUUCCUUCGGGAGCAACUUAGUGGCGGACGGGUGAGUAACGCGUGGGUAACCUGCCCUGUACAGGGGGACAACAGCUGGAAACGGCUGCUAAUACCGCAUAAGCCCUUAGCACUGCAUGGUGCAUAGGGAAAAGGAGCAAUCCGGUACAGGAUGGACCCGCGUCUGAUUAGCCAGUUGGCAGGGUAACGGCCUUCCAAAGCGACGAUCAGUAGCCGAUCUGAGAGGAUGUACGGCCACAUUGGGACUGAGACACGGCCCAGACUCCUACGGGAGGCAGCAGUGGGGAAUAUUGCACAAUGGAGGAAACUCUGAUGCAGCGACGCCGCGUGAGUGAAGAAGUAUUUCGGUAUGUAAAGCUCUAUCAGCAGGGAAGAAAAUGACGGUACCUGACGAAGAAGCACCGGCUAAAUACGUG